rnacentral:ncRNA from 1 species
AGAAAAACAAUGAUAGGGAGAGUAAAUAUAAUUCAGAUUCAGAGCGAAUUCGGGAAGGUGGAAGCCGAAUAUGAAGAUUAUAUUGAAGAACACCCUGGAGUAUCUAACCGAAAUUUUUAUAAGAGUAGGCUUAGACGUAUUCCCUAUGUUACAAGGGAUAGGUAUCGAUAAGUAAGUUUAAUUAUCUGUACCGAUAAGAGAUAGCUUUAAAGCUAAAUUAGGGUGGCACCACGGAAUAGUAUCCGUCCCUAUA